rnacentral:lncRNA from 1 species
UUAUACACACCUUGAUGCUAUUCAUUGGUGUGAGUGUAUGUCUCACUACUAUUCUUUACAUUUUAUGCACUUUUAUCUUCUUUUGUGUUGAAUCUGUGUCUUCUACUUCAUCUUGCUUUCUUGUAGUUGCUGAUUUUUAGGUUCAUUAGGAGUAAUUUCGUUUUUUAGUGGUUCAUUUUGUAUCAUAAAUUCUAGCCUGA